rnacentral:rRNA from 1 species
AUUGAACGCUGGCGGCAUGCCUUACACAUGCAAGUCGAACGGCAGCACGGGUGCUUGCACCUGGUGGCGAGUGGCGAACGGGUGAGUAAUACAUCGGAACAUGUCCUGUAGUGGGGGAUAGCCCGGCGAAAGCCGGAUUAAUACCGCAUACGAUCUACGGAUGAAAGCGGGGGACCUUCGGGCCUCGCGCUAUAGGGUUGGCCGAUGGCUGAUUAGCUAGUUGGUGGGGUAAAGGCCUACCAAGGCGACGAUCAGUAGCUGGUCUGAGAGGACGACCAGCCACACUGGGACUGAGACACGGCCCAGACUCCUACGGGAGGCAGCAGUGGGGAAUUUUGGACAAUGGGCGAAAGCCUGAUCCAGAAAUGCCGCGUGUGUGAAGAAGGCCUUCGGGUUGUAAAGCACUUUUGUCCGGAAAGAAAUCCUUGGCCCUAAUACGGUCGGGGGAUGACGGUACCGGAAGAAUAAGCACCGGCUAACUACGUG